rnacentral:rRNA from 1 species
ACGAACGCUGGCGGCGUGCCUAAUACAUGCAAGUCGAGCGAGCUUGCCUAGAUGAUUUUAGUGCUUGCACUAAAUGAAACUAGAUACAAGCGAGCGGCGGACGGGUGAGUAACACGUGGGUAACCUGCCCAAGAGACUGGGAUAACACCUGGAAACAGAUGCUAAUACCGGAUAACAACACUAGACGCAUGUCUAGAGUUUGAAAGAUGGUUCUGCUAUCACUCUUGGAUGGACCUGCGGUGCAUUAGCUAGUUGGUAAGGUAACGGCUUACCAAGGCAAUGAUGCAUAGCCGAGUUGAGAGACUGAUCGGCCACAUUGGGACUGAGACACGGCCCAAACUCCUACGGGAGGCAGCAGUAGGGAAUCUUCCACAAUGGACGAAAGUCUGAUGGAGCAACGCCGCGUGAGUGAAGAAGGGUUUCGGCUCGUAAAGCUCUGUUGGUAGUGAAGAAAGAUAGAGGUAGUAACUGGCCUUUAUUUGACGGUAAUUACUUAGAUAGUCACGGCUAACUAC